GGCUUUAUAUUUGUAUUAUUUAUUUUUUCUCUUGCACAUCCACAAAAAGCAAAAUUAAGAUCCAAUACACUUAUGUUUCAGAUUUUCUAAUUAGUGAAAUCCUCUUCUUUGUGCUAAAAGGAAGGGAGUCAGAGAUGGACUCAUUGGGGGCAUAUACAAUUCAGAAGAGUUGAGAGAGAUCUCAAAAUGACUGACAAAUGAAGAUAAAAACCAUCACCCCCAUUUUAAAGAAGAGGAAAAUGAGGAAUUAGAUGCUGUCUAUUCAUCAAAAGUUUUUACAACAAAACUCUGUCAGCAACAAGCCUGAGGUAAACUUAUUUUUAUAGACUAUAUGCACAAUUUGUGCACACACACUGAUAUAAAUAAACUGUGCAUUAAAAUAAUUGUGUGAAAAUAGUGAAUUGGGAUAAAGUGGUUGUCCAAGUUAACAUUUUUUUUUAAAAUCACAUUCCUAAAUUAUA